GGGCACUUGGCGCAGUGGUAGCGCGCCUCAGUGACAUUGAGGAGGUCACAGGUUCAAAUCCUGUAGUGCCCA
rnacentral:tRNA from 1 species